rnacentral:rRNA from 1 species
GACGAACGCUGGCGGCGCGCUUAACACAUGCAAGUCGAACGGAAAGGCCUGCUUUCCCUUGUGGAUUGCGGGUACUCGAGUGGCGAACGGGUGAGUAACACGUGAGUGAUCUGCCCCCAACUUGGGUAUAAGCCUGGGAAACUGGGUCUAAUUCCCGAUAGGACUGCAGGGUGGUGCCGGUGGUGGAAAACGAUUUUCUAGUGGUUGGGGAUGAGCUCGCGGCCUAUCAGCUUGUUGGUGGGGUAAUGGCCUACCAAGGCGGCGACGGGUAGCCGGCCUGUGAUCGUGGACGGCCGCAUUGGGACUGAGUUACGGCCCCGACUCCUACGGGAGGCAGCAGUGGGGAAUAUUGCACAAUGGGCGUAAGCCUGAUGCAGCGACGCCGCGUGGGGGAUGACGGCCUUCGGGUUGUAAACUCCUUUCGACCGCGAGGAAGCCACCUGGUUGGAAGGGUGGUGACGGUAGUGGUAGAAGAAGCACCGGCUAACUACGUG